CUUCAACGACCCCAGCAACAAAGGCCGCUCCCCAUCACGAUCCUGGCCGUACGUCGCCAACAACGCCUGCGCCUC
rnacentral:antisense_RNA from 1 species